rnacentral:rRNA from 1 species
GUACGAGAGGACCGGGACGGACGAACCUCUGGUGUGUCAGUUGUUCUGCCAAGAGCACUGCUGAUUGGCUACGUUCGGAACGGAUAACCGCUGAAAGCAUCUAAGCGGGAAGCCGGCUUCAAGAUGAGCUUUCCCACAGGGUUAACCUGGUAAGGCCCCCAGCUAGACGACUGGGUUGAUAGGCCGGAGGUGGAAGUGCGGUAACGCAUGCAGCCGACCGGUACUAAUAGGCCGAGGACUUGCCACAA